AGAGCGAACGCUGGCGGCAGGCCUAACACAUGCAAGUCGAGCGCCCAGCAAUGGGAGCGGCAGACGGGAUAGUAACACGUGGGAACGUACCUUUCAGUUCGGAACAACCCAGGGAAACUUGGGCUAAUACCGAAUACGCCCGUAAGGGGAAAGAUUUAUCGCUGAAAGAUCGGCCCGCGUCUGAUUAGCUAGUUGGUGGGGUAAUGGCCCACCAAGGCGACGAUCAGUAGCUGGUCUGAGAGGAUGAUCAGCAUCACUGGGACUGAGACACGGCCCAGACUCCUACGGGAGGCAGCAGUGGGGAAUAUUGGACAAUGGGCGCAAGCCUGAUCCAGCCAUGCCGCGUGGAUGAUGAAGGCCCUAGGGUUGUAAAGUCCUUUCGGCGGGGAAGAUAAUGACGGUACCCGCGAGAAGAACGCCCCGGCUAACCGUUCGUGCCAGCACGCCGC
rnacentral:rRNA from 1 species